AUCGGAGGAGGGAGCAGAGGAGGAGGAGGAGGAAGAGGAGGAGUAUAAAAAGCUGCUGCUCUCUUUCAGUCGAGUUUAAAUACACUUAAGUUUCACCUGAUCAGAGCUUCCAUCAACCUGCGGAUUACCGACAUGCUGCAGCGGUCAACUGUGUUGCUGCUCUUUGCGCUUGUUGCUGUUUCACUUGCAGCUCCAGUCCAGAAGAGAAACUCAGAAGAUGAGAGAAUUCUGCCUCUGUUGGAGCACCUGAAUGGUGGCAGGACAAGUGAACCUGUCACAACAGAGCCAGAUGUUCAUGAAAGUGAAGAGCAAACUGAAGCUCCUUCAGUUGAUGCCACUGGGUCACCAGAUGUCAGCGAUGAAGGUGUUGCCAUGACUGACAGCGAUGAAGCUCCUUCAGUUGAUGCCACUGAGCCACCAGGUGGUUCAGACAUCAGCGAUGAAGCUGAUGUUACAGCUGACAGCAAUGAAGGUGACGUUAAAGAUUCUCCUGAAGAAACUGAAGAUGCUGCAGAACAGUCAAAUGAGACUGCAGAGUCUGUGCCCGAAAACAGCGCCGACACCAGCACGGAGUCUGAGCCAACACCUAAUGGUGACAAAGAAGAUGAGGGGGAGGCAUUGAGUGAUGAAGAGCAGGAAGUGAAGGAGAAGGGAGAUGAAACGAGUGAAAAAGAUACCAGUGAGGAGGAGGAGGGGGGGGAGGUGGUGCCUAUCAUAGAAGAGGACAGCAAAGAGGAAACUCCAGCUGAAGAAGACAGCCACAUGAAUAACAGUGAGAUUGAAGACAUGGUGGAGAUAGAGGAGAAAGAGGCUGAGGAGGAAGAAACAGAAGAGGAGAAUGAGGAGGAGUUCAAAGAAGUGGAGGAGGAGAAGGAGGAAAAAGAGAACGAUAAUCAGGAUGAGCUAGGGGAGGAUAAGCAGGAUGAGCUAGAGGAGGAGAAAGAGGAGGAGGAUGAGCUAGAGGAGGAUAAGGAGGAGGACGAGCCAGAGGAGGAGGAGCUAGAGAAGGAAAAUGAAGAGAAAGAGCUAGAUGGGGAUAAAGAGGAGGAUGAGGCAGAAGAGGAGAAGGAAGAGUUAGAUAAUGAAAAGGAAGAGAAAGAGGAAGAUAUGGAUGAGAAGGAGGAGCAGCGGGAGGAACUGGAGGAAGGAAAUGAGGAGGAGCAAGAGAUAAAGGAGGAGGAAGAGGAGGAGGAGGAUUUCAAGGAUGAAUCUGAAAAUGCAGAUACUGAAGAACCUGAUGAAAUUGAUGAUGGUCUGGACUCCACUGAAGCAACACCUGCUGGUGAACUGGACCAAUCAGAUGAUGCCACCCCCGUCACCAAACAGGCUACCAGUUAGAUGCUUCGCCUCUGAGCUGUGGGAGCUCAGCAACUGCAGAGUGUUGAUGGAGAGGACUAUAGAGAAGAGCCAAGCCCACAGCCUCCACAGUGGAAUCCAGCUGCCAUGACUUCAACAACCUAAACUGCAUGAAUCUCAACGUUCAGCCAACUGUUGUUUCCUCUCCCCAUUUUCUAGCAGUGUCUGUUUUAACCUCUGGCUUCUUUGGUUUUCUCAGAUUAAAAAAAAGAAAUGUCUUUCACCUGCUGACUGUCUUCUUUUCUGCCAUGUGUCUCUCUUUCCAGCUUCUUGUCUGCAGAAAUAUUAAAUCAGCUGCUGAGCUCAGAUCUGUUUUGUGUGUCUGAUUUCACACAUUAACAUGUACAUAAGUCCCUCUUUAAUUUACAGAGAAUGUUUUUAAGGACGUGAAAAACCAGUCAGUGGUGUAUACAGAGGAACUGCUAAUAAAGUUUGAAUUGUCGAAA